rnacentral:rRNA from 1 species
UCCUUUGUUGCCAGCGGUCCGGCCGGGAACUCAAGGAGACUGCCAGUGAUAAACUGGAGAAGGUGGGGAUGACGUCAAGUCAUCAUGGCCCUUACGAGUAGGGCUACACACGUGCUACAAUGGCGCAUACAAAGAAAAGCGACCUCGCGAGAGCAAGCGGACCUCAUAAAGUGCGUCGUAGUCCGGAUUGGAUUCUGCAACUCGACUCCAUGAAGUCGGAAUCGCUAGUAAUCUUAGAUCAGAAUGCUACGGUGAAUACGU